CACGGGGGGAGCAAGCGUUGUUCGGAAUCACUGGGCGUAAAGGGCGUGUAGGCGGUCAGAUAAGUGAGAUGUGAAAUGCCUCGGCUCACCCGAGGACCUGCAUCUCAUACUGUUUGGCUUGAGUACGGGAGAGGAUGAGGGAAUUCCUGGUGUAGCGGUGAAAUGCGUAGAUAUCAGGAGGAACACCGGUGGCGAAGGCGCUCAUCUGGCCCGAUACCGACGCUGAAGCGCGAAAGCUAGGGGAGCAAACGGG
rnacentral:rRNA from 1 species